AUGAGUGGAAAUAGAAGUAGUUAUUUUUCAGUAGGGUUUUAUCAGAAGGGUUGGAAAUUCACGGCUAGUAGCAUAUUUGAUUUCUUUUUCAAAUCCACCUGGAACAACCUUGAUGAAAUUAAAGAAAUGAAUUGGUCAUAUGUUUGCCUUCUUAAAAUUAACUUGCCUGAAUUUGCGAAGCAAUUUAAACCCAUUUCGCUUUGUAAUGUUCAUUACAAAAAUAAUGAAACUCCGCCAGAAGCUUUUGGAGAAAGGCGGGGAAGGAAAGAAUCCUCUUUCGUAAGAUCAAAGCUUGAACAUCCCACACAGAUUGAAGAGCUUUGA